rnacentral:rRNA from 1 species
AAACUUUCAACAACGGAUCUCUUGGCUCUCGCAUCGAUGAAGAACGCAGCAA